UUAUUAAUAUUAGCUCUCUGUGUACAKCCAAGGGUCAGUCGUGCUGCCCUGUUCUGAGCCAUGGUAAGGCUCUAUGGGAGAAAAGAGGGUGGGACAGGAGAAAGAGGUGUAAAAAUCAGGCAUGAUGUGUACUUUAUAGUUUACUUUCGAUAAUUUCCUUMCUCUCAUUUUGUUUGUGUGACCCAUCCAGAGGAGUAGGGGUCAAUGGGAGUCAGAGGGGCGGGAGCACCCCUUAKUACCGGUGCAGAGGAAGGAACGGUGUAACGCUCGUCGUUACGUGGAAGAGAGGAGGACCAAAUUGCAGCGUGAGGCAGCUGCGAUGGAUAGUGGGGAGAUGUUCACUGCUGGAAAAUGUGGUCUGGUCUCUGCCAAGGUGGAACAGUAUGACGCAGGUCUGUGCAGCUUCCCUGGUGAGGUGUCAUCGUACAAUGUGGUGGCGGUACUGAGGAAGGACUCUGGAUGUGUUUUGUUACAUCCCUUACCCAGCUCAACUGUUACCUUCUCAAAAUGUUCAACGGCUUCUCCUGUCAGUGCUCACUACCUGUAUAUCGAUGGGCGGUGGUGGACAGAACCCCUAGAUAACGUUAUAGAUCUGAAAACUCAGCUCACACAGAACUGGUUGGGGUAUUCAUUCAGACACGCACCUCUUUCACACCGGAGAUAGUCCCCUGACAGCUCUCAUUCACUCAGUAGUUAAUAGUAAUAAUAUCUCUUAUCUAAAUCCUCUUAUUAUCCACAUUUCAAAUCAGCUUAACACGUCCUUUCCACACUCACACAGCUCUCACAUCCACAUUCACUUAGUACUAUUCCCAAACGCACUCAGUCAUCUCCCUUAUUACUAUCUCUGUGCAUCUUCAACGAUUCUCGUCGUUACUUGCUAUACAUAUAAAAUAUCACGUGCUCAAUAACACCUUGUGCUAUUUGUAGUGGCUGCAGACCACGUAGACACUUCAAUAAUGGCCUACAGACAGCUGUCAGCAGGGCUUUCCAUGGUACUGUUACUCGCCSUCGCUCUAGUCUUCUCACCAUAAGACUAGUGAAUAGCCUUCUCAUAAGACUAUGGGUACCWUUUUAUUGUUCAGUUUAGUUGGUUUUAUGAUAUACAGUACCAGUCAAAAGUUUGGACACACCUACUCCU